CUGAUAUUUUCAUUAACAAAAAUCCAGAAGGCAUAAUGCCAUUACAUAUAAUAGAUAACAACAACAAAAUGAACAAGUCUUUACCUAAUGACAUACCUAACACCACUAAAUUUACAUUGGAAAUUGUUAAUCAGCUUGCUUAAGUUUCUUUGCUGAUUUUUCAGUCAAUCAAUCAACAAAAAAACAUCAUAAGGUUUACCAACUUAGUUCAACAUGAACUAGAUUACAAAAUAAUAAUUAAAAAUACAAUCAAAACAUAACAAGUAGUUAGGCAACUUCAAGCUCCAGUUUCUGCACUUCAUAGCUCGACUGCUUGCUGCCACUUCUCCUUGCAUGGCCACCUUUUCAUGUCUUGCAUGGGAACUAAAUUCAACACUCCUCCUUAGUUUCCAUGCUAGUGACACCUAAUUGCCUUCUUAAUUUAACAAAUUUAGACACAUUGAGUGCCUUUGUAAAGAUAUCAGCAAUUUGCUCUUCUGAAUUGCAAUGAACCAGCUAGAUUUCAUGAGCUUGCUCCAUCUCCCUUAUGACCUGUAGCUUGAUGUUGAAGUGCUUUGUUCUACCAUGAAAGAUAGGAUUCUUUGCAAUUGCAACAGCAGAUUUGUUGUCACAGUAAAUCUCUAUUGCCUUUCCUUGAUUUUGAUUUAAAUCAGCUAGGAUUUUUCUAAGCCAUAUGGCUUGAUUUACAGCAGAUGCAGUAGCAACAUAUUCAGCUUCUGCUGUUGACUGUGCUACCAGACUUUGCUUUUUAGAACUCCAGCAAAACAUGCCUGAGCCAAGACUAAAGGCAUAUCCAGAUGUGCUUCUCAUGUCAUCACAAGAUCCAGCCCAGCCACUAUCAACAUAGCCUAUCAGCUUCAUGUUUUCAGCCCUUUUGAACAAUACACCAUGAUCAAUAGUGCCUUUGAUGUAUCUAAGCACUCUUUUAGCUGCUUGAAAGUGCUGAUCAUUGCAGCAAUUCAUGUAUCUGGAUAGUACACUAACAGCAAACAUGAUAUCGGGUCUUGUUGCAGUCAAAUACAACAGACUACCAAUGAGACUUUUGUACAUAGUCUCGCAAAUUGGUUCACCACUCCCUUGCCUCGAAAGCUUCACUCCAACAGCCAUUGGUGUGCUUGUUGGCUUGCAGUUCUUCAUAGAGAACUUAUCCAGGAUCUUCAUAGUAAAAGAACUCUGACUAAGAAAGAUUCCCUUUGCUGUUUGCUUCACUUCCAUUCCAAGGAAGUAGUUCAUUCUGCCUAAAUCAGACAUUUCAAACAUUUCCAUCAUUUUUCUUUUGAAAUCUUCCAACAUUCUUCUAUCUCCUCCAGUCACCUAUAAAUCAUCAACAUAGAGUGACAGGAUAAGCUGAGUUUCAGCUUGGUUCUUCUUCACAUACAGUGUUGGUUCACUGAGAUUUCUCUCGAAUUCCAAACUGAGCAAGUAAGAAUCAAUUCGAGCAUACCAGGCUCGAGGAGCCUAUUUUAGGCCAUAUAAAGCCUUUUUCAGUCUGUACACCUUGUGUUCUUUGCCAGUGACCACAAAUCCUUGAGGCUGUUCGAUGUAGAUCUCUUCUUCCAGGAAACCAUUGAGAAAUGCAGACUUAACAUCAAGCUGAUGAAUGGUCCACUGAUGUUGAGCAGCCAAGGCAACUAUCAUUCUAACUGUGUCAAGCCUGGCUACUGGUGCAAAAGUCUCCAGAUAGUCCAGACCAUACCUUUGGCUAAAACCUUUGACAACAAGCCUGGCUUUUAGCUUGUUCAGACUGCCAUCUGCAUUCUGUUUUGCUCGAUAGACCCAUUUUACUCCAAUGGUCUUCUUUCCAGUAGGUUUAUCAACUAGCUCCCAUGUCUGGUUCUUCUCAAUCAUGUUGAUUUCAUCGACCAUAGCUAGUUUCCAGCCUUCAUCUACCUCAGCCUCUUCAAAACUGCUAGGUUCUGCUAUUGCAACCUGUGCCCUUUCAUAAAUAUCAUCUAGGGGCCUUGUGCCUCUCACAGGCACAUCAUCAACAUCCAUUUUAGGUCCUAGCUGCUCAAGUUCAGCUUGAUUAGGCACCAAGUCUUCUGAAGCAGCUUCUGGUUCAUUCUUUUCCCAAUUCCAGCAAGCCUUCUCAUCGAAGAUGACAUCUCUGCUCACUUGAACUAUGUUUGUCAAAGGAUCCAGCACCCUGUAGCCCUUCUUAACUAAGCUAUAGCCUACUAGAACACCUGGUUGAGCCCUUUCAGAGAGCUUGUCUCUCUUUGCUGCUGGUAUUUGUGCAUAACACAGGCAACCAAACACCUUCAGAUGUGCCAAGGAAGGCUUGAAACCGGACCAAGCCUCGAAAGGUGUUUUGGAUGCAAGAGCUUUGGUAGGAAGCCUAUUUUGAAGGUAGACAGCAGUGUUUACUGCCUCAGCCCACAUGGUCUUGGGCAGUUUCUUCUCAAACCGCAGGCACCUGGCCAUAUCCAUCAAGCUUCUGUUCUUUCUUUCUGAUACCCCAUUUUGCUGAGGUGUGUAGACAUUUGUAAGAUGGUGUUUGAUACCAGCAUCAUUGCAAAUGGCUUGAAACUGAGCUGAAGUGUACUCAGUGCCAUUGUCUGACCUUAUCGAUUUCAGCUUGCAACCUGUUUCUGUCUCUACAACAGUUUUAAACUUCACAAACACUUGAGCUACCUCAGACUUGUGUUUUAAGAAGAAAAUCCAGCAAAACCUUAUAAAAUCCUCAAUGAAGAGGAUGAAAUACCUAUUUUUGCUGAGUGAUUCAGUCCUCAUCGGGCCACAUACAUCAGAGUGCACCAGCUGCAGUUUUUCAGUAGCUCUCCAAGCUGAAUUUGUAGGAAAUGGCAGUCUUGCCUGUUUCCCCAUCUGGCAAACUUCACACACAUCAUCAUGCUCCACUGAGCUAGUAAAGUUCUCUGCCAAGCCUUCUUUGGCCAUUCGAGCCAAUGAUCUGAAGUUGGCAUGCCCAAGCCUUUGAUGCCAAAGCUUGGAAUCAUCAACAGAGGCUGUAUAUGCAGACUUUGAGUCAUUUGGCCAGUGUACCUCAAAGCAUUUGUCAGUCAUUGUGACUGUCAUAAGGCUUGAUCCACUUGGAUCAGCAAUGUGGCACUGUUUGUUCUUGAACACAACAAAAUAGCCUUUCUCGAGCAAUUGAGCUAUGCUGAGAAGGUUUCUGUCGAUUUCUGGCACUAACAGCACAUUUGGAAUGAUCUUGUUGCCUGUGGGGGUACAUAUCAGCACCUCUCCUCUUCUUUCAGCCCUUAUGAACUGACCAUUUCCAACCUUGACCUUGGUUUUGCAACUUCUAUCCAAGGUUUUAAAUAAGGAGGCAUCUGGUGACAUGUGGUUAGUGCAACCACUGUCCAAUAACCAGCCUUUUGAGCAUUUCUUCUCAGCAGCUAAGCAAGAAACAGCAAAGACCUACUUUUCUUGAUCACUACUGUCCUCAGCUACUCGAGCUUCAACCUUUGGUUGUUGAAAUUGACUCUGCCUUGACUUGGUUCUAUUUUUGCAAACCCUUUCAACAUGGCCUUUCUUCUUGCAGUGUUGGCAUACUGCAUCUGGCCUGAACCAGCAUCUGUCUUCUGGAUGACCUGGCCUCUUGCAAUGUCUACAGGGCUGGUCAUUGCUCCUUGCAGUAUCAGGCUUAGGCCUACUUUUCCAAGGCUUUUUACCUCUUGGAGCAUUGAUGCUCGAGGCUUCUCUGGCCUUGGCAUUGAAUGCACAUUCCUGGUGGUCUUCAGCUCUGCUAGCUCUCCUUUGUUCCUGAGCAUAGAAAGUGUUGAUUAGCUCAGUCAAAGAGAUGGUAGCAAGGUCUCUUGAGUCCUCAAGAGAGGAUAUCUAGGCCUCAUAUCUCUUAGGCAAAGUGGAGAGAACUUUCUCUACUAUCCUUGCCUCAUCAAAGUGCUCACCAAGGAGCCUUAUACUGUUAACCACUGCCAUGAUUCUAUCUGCAUACUGCUUCACUGUUUCUUCUUCCUUCAUCUUCAGGUUCCUCUCAAAUUCAAUAGCUGCUGUUGCCUUGUUCUCUCAGUGCCUUGAAACUCCUCCUUAAGCUUAUCCCAUGCCUGUUUUGGAGUCUCACAGGCCAUAAUUCUGGUGAAGAUGACAUCUGACACACAAUUCUGAAUGCAGGACAUGGCUUUGUGCCUUUUGGUCCUCUCAUCAGCAUGUUGCCUAAUCUGAGCUACUGUGGGAUUGGCCCUCAGUGGUGCUAGCUCAGCAUCUGUGUUGACAACUUCCUACAGAUCAAAGGCCUGUAGGUAAGUCUUCAUCUUGACCAGCCAUAUGUGGAAGCCUUCUCCAUUGAAGACUGGUGGGGCUGCUGGUGAAAAACUUGAGGAAGACAUUCAGCUUUCUUAGUUUGAUAAAACAGGUCCACUAAGAAUGAAGCUCUAGAUACCAAUUGUUGGUGCAAAGAGACAACAACAGACUGUUUUCAAUCUUGCUUGUAUAGCAAGCCUCGAGCCUUGCUGAAGAAACAAACUCAGAAGCAAGAACAGAAACACAUGCGAAUGAAAACAAAAGAAAUUGAGAGAGAGUAUUUUGAAUGAAAAGAGCUGAUAUUUUCAUUAACAAAAAUCCAGAAGGCAUAAUGCCAUUACAUAUAAUAGAUAAUAACAACAAAAUGAACAAGUCUUUACCUAAUGACAUACCUAACACCACUAAAUUUACAUUGGAAAUUGUUAAUCAGCUUGCUUAAGUUUCUUUGCUGAUUUUUCAGUCAAUCAAUCAACAAAAAAAACAUCAUAAGGUUUACCAACUUAGUUCAACAUGAACUAGAUUACAAAAUAAUAAUUAAAAAUACAAUCAAAACAUAACAAGUAGUUAGGCAACUUCAAGCUCCAGUUUCUGCACUUCAUAGCUCGACUGCUUGCUGCCACUUCUCCUUGCAUGGCCACCUUUGCAUGUCUUGCAUGGGAACUAAAUUCAACAUUU
rnacentral:lncRNA from 1 species